AGCGGUAGAUUUUCUAGCUUGCUAGAAAAUUGAGAGCGGCGAACGGGUGAGUAACACGUUGGUAUCCGCCCCCAAGUCAGGGAUAGCCAGAAGAAAUUCUGAUUAAUACCGGAUAGUCUCUUCGGAGUAAAAAUUUAUUGCUUGGGGAGGAACCUGCGGUCUAUCAGCUUGUUGGUGAGGUAAUAGCUCACCAAGGCUAUGACGGAUACCUGGUCUGAGAGGAUGAUCAGGCACAAUGGAACUGAGACACGGUCCAUACUCC
rnacentral:rRNA from 1 species